rnacentral:rRNA from 1 species
CAGUAGCCACGGUAAUACGUAGGGUGCAAGCGUUGUCCGGAAUUAUUGGGCGUAAAGAGCUCGUAGGCGGUUUGUCGCGUCUGCUGUGAAAUCCCGAGGCUCAACCUCGGGCUUGCAGUGGGUACGGGCAGACUAGAGUGCGGUAGGGGAGAUUGGAAUUCCUGGUGUAGCGGUGGAAUGCGCAGAUAUCAGGAGGAACACCGAUGGCGAAGGCAGAUCUCUGGGCCGUAACUGACGCUGAGGAGCGAAAGCGUGGGGAGCGAACAGGAUUAGAUACCCCCGUAGUCCCUGUCUCUUAUAC